ACUUUCGAAAAGUUGGCAAUGACAGUCUCAUGCCUCUGUACAAGUAACGGAGAAGCAUUUCCCGGACAUGACAUGCUCUUAAAAAUUGGUUGUAAGCUUGGGGAGUGCAGAAUUGUUUUAUGUGAAUCGGGAGCAAAGCAUAGGUUGCAGAAGUUGCAGCUCAAUUUUCCGAGCGACGAUGUCGUAUUUGCACUCAAGGACAGCAAGGAGCUACCUUGGUUGGCCAAGUAUCUAUGAUUCUGGAUUCAAUCAUUUUCGAUUCUUCAUUCAAAAGAACAGUUUUGACCCUCAUUCUUCAUUUGUUUCAGUUGCUACAUUCUCGUCAUAAAUUUAUGUCACUUCCAAUUGGGAUACCAACAUCUUUAUUUUCUUCCCAAUAAAUUAUUGUAUCACAUUUGAGAC